AAUGCACUUAAGAGUGGGCCAGCUUACUUAAAAGAGGCAGUGUGCAUCUCUCUCCCUGCUAUGCCGUCUCCCCUCCCUUGUGUUUGUGCUGCCUUCUUAUUUAUAUAGCCUCUC